CCAAAGCACUCUCCGAUGCCUCUCUCGCAUGCUUGAUGAGGGCAUCCAUGCUGAUGUCACUAUCAACACUGCUGAAGGCACUUUAAGAGCUCACAAAGCAAUUCUUUCUGCAACUUCUCCUGUGUUCCAAAGCAUGUUCAAUCACGACCUUAAGGAAAAAGAGUCCUCCACAAUCCACAUAAAAGACAUGUCCCUGGAAUCUUGUAUGGCUCUUCUCAGUUACCUGUAUGGAACCAUUAAACAAGAGAAUUUCUGGAAGCACCGGUUGGCACUUCUAGGUGCGGCGAACAAAUAUGACAUUGCAGACCUAAAAGAUGCCUGUGAGGAAAGCCUUCUGGAAGAUAUUAACUCCACAAAUGUCCUUGCGAGAUUGCAAGAGGCCUGGUUGUACCAGCUGAAUAUGCUGAAGAAAGGAUGCUUGACGUACUUGUUUGAUUUUGGCAAAAUAUACGAUGUUAGAGACGAAGUAAACGACUUUUUCAGGCAUGCAGACAGAGACUUGAUGAUGGAAAUGUUUCAAGAGGUGCUUACUGUUUGGAAGCCUUUAUAACUUUCUUUUUAUGGAGUUCUUACUGUCAUUUGCAGUCUGCUGAUUGAUAAUUGUAUAUAUAGUCUUUGGUUCAAGUAUCCUCUGAGAUCAUCUGUGUGGUUUAAUGGUGAUGUUGUUCUCCUAUGUAUGAUAAAAAAAUUACGAUCCCAGGUGACCUGUUUGGCAUUCGGUUUCGAGUUCAUAUAGUGUCAUGCCCCACAUCUCAUGAGCAUUAUAAAUUGCUUGUGUUGGUUUAAGUUCCAAACCCUACUUCUUUGCACAUAAGAAUCUAUUGUACUUAUAAUUUUGCUGUUACAUUGAUGAAGGAAUUAAUGGGUCUUACUAGAUGCUUUUCUUCUUUUUUUUCGGUCGUACUCAUUAAACACUAACGUUUGGUAGUGGACUUGCUUUGAUAGAGAGGGAGUAUGUUUUUAUUGAGCACUCUUUUGAAACUCAUCAUGUUUAUUUGAUUUAAUCUUGAUUCAGGUAUAUUGGGGGAAAUGUUUGUAUGAUUAGACUACCCUGAAGCCUUGACAGGAGCCACAUUGAGUCAAUGAAGUGUAUAUUGUGAAACUUUCGAAUGUUGGAAUAACAAUAGAAAAUAUGAAUUUAAAGAUAAUAAUAAUUCUCAAUAAAAUUGUAAUAAUCAAAAUACAAUAAAAAAUUUAUUUAAAAUUAAGGUAAAUUAAUAAACACAAAUAGAAAUACUGACAACUUAUCGAUAGAGGCUUGCAAGAAUUGCAAUGUUCUAAAGACAAAUUUGACCCAUGCUCUUGUGCAUGCAGUUUUGUACAUGUAUCCAUCUCUUAGGAUUUAACAAUCGAUAAUUCUAAAUUGAAGCACUUCAAUUUAAGACUUUGGCGAGUCAAUUAUAUAUUUGUACUCUCAAGACUAGACUUAGAAUUGAUCAAAAGAGUAAAACUAGAGCACUGGGGAAUACUCUGUUUGUCCACGGGUAAGUACUCCUCUGCAAGGAGGAAAUUGUUGGGUUUAUAUAAAGGAGUUGAUUUUCCUACUCAUCUUUUCUUCAUUUACACUCUCUUUUGUUUUUUUAUUACUUUUUAAUAAAUUUUUUUUUCUCUUUCCUGUUUUACCCUUGCCCUAUUAAUUUCUUUUUACUUCACUUUUAUAUUAUUUCUUUUUACUGAAAAUUAUCUUUGAUAUGGAUGAGAUUGCUGAAAAUUCAAAAUUUGUAAUGUCAAGGUAAUGGUAUUGAUAAUAACCGAAAAUUGAUAUUUUGUCUAUGAUCAGUGAAGAAGAUAUGAUGACAGGUUAUUGGGAAAAAAAAAUUGGUGUAAAAAUCAAGCAAUCAAGCAUAAAGUACUCAUGCCAUAUCCAAUAUUACAUUAAAAUAAAAAAAAUAAAAACACAUUCGAAAUUACCCUGCUGAUAUGCUUUUAAUGAUAAUAAAUCAUCUCAGCGUAGUUUCCUGUGGUGUAUUUUGUAAUGGCCCAGUAAAAAAAUGGUUUUAAGAAGGACGCUAAGGUGGAUUUUAAUGUUUUCGUACAAUAAAAUUGUCUCUUGCUCAAAAAACUGUAACAGCGAAACUGUUCAUUAUGGGUUUGUUGAAACUUUGACUUUGAAUUUACUUCACUUUUAUAUUAUUUAUAAAAAAAUAAAUAAAAUUAAAAAUGCAGUUUAAGUUGAAAAAUUAAGUAUAUAAAAAAAUAAUAAUAAUAAGUGAAGUAAAAAUGAAAUUAAUGUAGAGUAGGGUAUAAUAGGAAAGAGAGAACAAAAAGAAUAAAAUUGUUUAAAAAGUAUUAAAAAACAAAAAGGAGUGUUAGGGGAGUGGGAAGAUCGGCUCCCUUGUAUAAAACCCAAACAUCAUUCUUAAAAAACUUAUUUAUUAAUUUAUCUUCUGAAUUUUACGGAAAAUCUCAGCUUAUCUCAUGACUUUACAACUAGGUCAAUAUGCCCUCUUUGCUUUUAUUCUGUGUCCUACGUUGCUCCAUUGUUUUUUUAAACACUUAAAAAUUUAAAAUCAAAGAGUUAAUUAUGAUUACAAGUAUAGACAUGUGUUAAAAUAGUACACACUGAAUUAAAAUAGUGAACAAAAAUGCUCCAAUUCUUUGCAUAUCGCAAAUAAUCCUGUAAAAAUCUUCUGAGAAAUCAGAUAAAAGAAAAAAAUCUGCCAGAAAUGGAAAACAUUGGCAAAACAAAUGGUAUUUUUUUCUUCGAAGAAUUAAAGAAACAAUAUUGCUGGGUACCAGUAGAAGUUGGUAAAGUUUGACUUGAAAUUGAUCAAGCCACGUACUUGGCAUUGCCUUAAAAAAGUUUGUCAGGAAAGCAAAGACCAAGUCAGCCAGAAUAAGUCACAGAGAGUGAGAAAGCUCACAACAAUGGCCGAUUCAAAAGUAGAGACGAUCUCAAGACUGGCCCAAUGGAGAAUCGAGAAUUUCGGGCCUUGCUCUUACAAAAAGUCUGAUCCUUUCAAGCUCGGAAUUUGGAAUUGGUACUUCCCUUCCCACAACACCCAUUUUUACCCGACUGUCCUUUUUCUUUGUUUUCUUUGUUGAUAUGGGUUCUGAAAUUGAGUGUUUUUAAUUGGGUUAUCAGGCAUUUUUCUAUAGAGAAGAAUCGGUACCUCUACAUUCGUUUGUUUCCUGAGCCAUCACGGGUGUCCAAAGAACAGCCUCCUCUUGCUCGCUUUGUUCUUAGAGUCUCUAGUUCCGGCCCUGGCCGCAGACCCUACAUCUCUCCUGGUAUGUCUCUCUCUUAUUUUUACUUCAAGUUCAAAUUUUUUGCUAUGAUUAUGAUUGUUGGGGAUGAUUGUUUGAAUGCAUCACUUUUAGAAAUGUGGUUAGAAUUGGAUAUGCAUAGUUGGUCUGGUGCCUAUCAGCUCAAAGUUGUAUAACAUGCAACUUGGAAUGCUAAAAGUCUGUUUCUCUUUAGAUUUGAGGGGCUAACUGGUAGGCUGAAUCUUAUAUAUCAAUGUCUUCCAUUGUUAAUUUUGCUCUUGAAAGUUUAGUGAUUUUUGUUCAUAUGGGUUUGAUGUAGUUUCCGUGAUGUUUGGAAGUUAGUAUAUGAAUGAUAGAAAAUGUUCAUAAGUCGGUAAUAACUGAAGAUAGUGAUUGGAAGUAGUACAUAAGUCAGGGUACUAUAUCUGAAGGCAGUUGAGUUGUUUUGUUUAAUUUGUGUCCUGGUUUGGUACGAGUCCUACAAUGUAUAAGAUUUUGUUUGAAGGAAUCUGUCCUUACAUCAUAUGAUUCCAGGCAUCGGAUAGUGAAGUUUGGGAUUUUCAUUACCUUCUUCCUCUGUAUCUGUUAAUUUAAUUUGUACCUCUGCUUUGAUAUACGACAGCUGUUCUGUCUGGUUGUUUUAGCCAAAAAGACAGAAGCUUGGUGCCAUGCCCUUUUUUCUUUUAUUAAAAAACACAUCCAAAUGUCUCUUGUACUGUUUAUUUCUGUCCUUAUACACUCAUCGUGAAAACUUUCACAUGGAUUUGCCAUCCUAGAGGUUAUCUGAAAUCUGGUUUUAUCUCAUUUACUGGGCUCUCAAUUCAUCUUCCGCUUCUCUACUAAAUUCAUGUGUAUGGAUUCUUGGAUGAUAUUUUGAGGCAGAACUGGUAAGUGAUCUUGACAUAUCUCAAACAUAGCAUAUAGCUGUGUUUCAGUAUGUUUAUCAAAAUAUGAUACCGUCUUGAUACUUAUUUAAAACACUAAAUUAAUAUGUAACUAAUAUUUUGAAAUAAAAAGGCUGUGAUGCAAUGUAGAGAGGACCAUUAAUAACCUGGACAUUUCACCCCUUUUCUGAUCAUCAGCUACAAUUAAAAAGAAUAUGCUUCUGUGUAUGACUUAUGCUACAAUUGGUUAAUGUGCUUUGAUGUAAUACAUCCAACUCAUGGAUCUGUUCUGUGGAAAUAGGGAUUCAAAAUUAAGGCAACAAACUUAUGUGUUUCCUUGCCCAUGGGCACUUUGGAAUAUCCCACCUCCAUCAGAAAUAUUGAACUUACAUAUAUUUGUUUUGGAAAUCUAUAAUAUGAUAGCCAUUUCUUUUUCUUUUUAAAUAGAAUGCACUAAGCAGUAAUUAUGUUCCUUUAAUGCUGAUUUGCUUCUUGUUACAGUUCAUGAAAGAUUGCUUCGCACAAGUGAAGACUUUGUCUGGCCUGUUGAUUCCACCUUCCUUGGUCGCUUCAUCAUUGAUGUUGAGUUUCUCGAAUUGAAGAUAUGCCCUUUAAAUGUGAGUUCCAUUACAUAGUUAUCUUUGUGUUAGUUUCAUUACGUAGUUAUUUUUGUGGUAGUUUGAUACGUGUGGGUAUAUGUGGUUUAUGAAUUUUUGGUUUUACAGAUGGAUUUAAAUUAUUGUUGAUUAUCUCUCUCACUGGUGGACCUAGGGCCACAAAAGCUUCAUUAAAUGAUGAAAAGUUAUAAUUUACAACUCUUCAGCUUGCUUUAUCAUCAAUUAAGUAACAAGUAGUGAUAUCUGGAGGACUUGAUUUCUUACAAUUCUCUGAUUAAAUCAGGGUGGGGAAGCUAGUCCUGUAUGGCCUGCUGAUGGAUUGAUGCAAUCGGUAUCAACCCAAAGCACUCUCCGAUGCCUCUCUCGCAUGCUUGAUGAGGGCAUCCAUGCUGAUGUCACUAUCAACACUGCUGAUGGCACUUUAAGAGCUCACAAAGCAAUUCUUUCUGCAACUUCUCCUGUGUUCCAAAGCAUGUUCAAUCACGACCUUAAGGAAAAAGAGUCCUCCACAAUCCACAUAAAAGACAUGUCCCUGGAAUCUUGUAUGGCUCUUCUCAGUUACCUGUAUGGAACCAUUAAACAAGAGAAUUUCUGGAAGCACCGGUUAGCACUUCUAGGUGCGGCGAGCAAAUAUGACAUUGCAGACCUAAAAGAUGCCUGUGAGGAAAGCCUUCUGGAAGAUAUUAACUCCACAAAUGUCCUUGCGAGACUGCAUGAGGCCUGGUUGUACCAGCUGAAUAUGCUGAAGAAAGGAUGCUUGAUGUACUUGUUUGAUUUUGGCAAAAUAUACGAUGUUAGAGACGAAGUAAACGACUUUUUCAGGCAUGCAG
rnacentral:lncRNA from 1 species